GGGGUUGUGGCUCAUGGUAGAGUGCUUGCCUAGCACACAUGAGGCCCUGGGUUCGAUCCUCUGCAUCACUU
rnacentral:tRNA from 1 species